GACGAACGCUGGCGGCGUGCUUAACACAUGCAAGUCGAACGGAAAGGCCCUGCUUUUGUGGGGUGCUCGAGUGGCGAACGGGUGAGUAACACGUGAGUAACCUGCCCUGGACUUUGGGAUAACUUCAGGAAACUGGGGCUAAUACCGGAUAGGAGCUCCUGCUGCAUGGUGGGGGUUGGAAAGUUUCGGCGGUUGGGGAUGGACGCGCGGCUUAUCAGCUUGUUGGUGGGGUAGUGGCUUACCAAGGCUUUGACGGGUAGCCGGCCUGAGAGGGUGACCGGCCACAUUGGGACUGAGAUACGGCCCAGACUCCUACGGGGGGCAGCAGUGGGGAAUAUUGCACAAUGGGCGGAAGCCUGAUGCAGCAACGCCGCGUGCGGGAUGACGGCCUUCGGGUUGUAAACCGCUUUCGCCUGUGACGAAGCGUGAGUGACGGUAAUGGGUAAAGAAGCACCGGCUAACUACGUG
rnacentral:rRNA from 1 species